rnacentral:rRNA from 1 species
GACGAACGCUGGCGGCGUGCUUAACACAUGCAAGUCGAACGGAAAGGCCUCUUUCGGGGGGUACUCGAGUGGCGAACGGGUGAGUAACACGUGAGUAACCUGCCCUUGACUUUGGGAUAACUUCAGGAAACUGGGGCUAAUACCGGAUAGGAGCUCCUGCUGCAUGGUGGGGGUUGGAAAGUUUCGGCGGUUGGGGAUGGACUCGCGGCUUAUCAGCUUGUUGGUGGGGUAGUGGCUUACCAAGGCUUUGACGGGUAGCCGGCCUGGGAGGGUGACCGGCCACAUUGGGACUGAGAUACGGCCCAGACUCCUACGGGAGGCAGCAGUGGGGAAUAUUGCACAAUGGGUGGAAGCCUGAUGCAGCAACGCCGUGUGCGGGAUGACGGCCUUCGGGUUGUAAACCGCUUUCGCUCAUGACGAAGCUUUGUGUGACGGUAGUGGGUAAAGAAGCACCGGCUAACUACGUG